AGACAGGUGGUGCAUGGUUGUCGUCAGCUCGUGUCGUGAGAUGUUGGGUUAAGUCCCGCAACGAGCGCAACCCUUGUGUUUAGUUUGCAAACAGGUCAAGCUGUGCACUCUAGACAGACUGCCGUGGACAACACGGAGGAAGGUGGGGAUGACGUCAAAUCAUCAUGCCCCUUAUGAUCUGGGCUACACACGUGCUACAAUGGCCGGUACAACGGGCAGCGAAGGAGCGAUCCGGAGCGAAUCCUAAAAAAGCCGGUCCCAGUUCGGAUUGCAGGCUGAAACUCGCCUACAUGAAGUUGGAGUUGCUAGUAAUCGCGAAUCAGAAUGUCGCGGUGAAUGCGUUCCCGGGUCUU
rnacentral:rRNA from 1 species